GCCAGAGUGGUGUAAUUGGUAGCCACGAGAGACUUAAAAUUUCUUUUCCGUAAGGAAGUACGGGUUCGAGUCCCGUCUCUGGUA
rnacentral:tRNA from 1 species